AUUGAACGCUGGCGGCAUGCUUUACACAUGCAAGUCGAACGGCAGCGCGGGCUUCGGCCUGGCGGCGAGUGGCGAACGGGUGAGUAAUGCAUCGGAACGUGCCCAGUAGUGGGGGAUAGCCCGGCGAAAGCCGGAUUAAUACCGCAUACGACCUGAGGGUGAAAGCGGGGGACCGAAAGGCCUCGCGCUAUUGGAGCGGCCGAUGUCGGAUUAGCUAGUUGGUGGGGUAAAGGCUUACCAAGGCGACGAUCCGUAGCUGGUCUGAGAGGACGACCAGCCACACUGGAACUGAGACACGGCCCAGACUCCUACGGGAGGCAGCAGUGGGGAAUUUUGGACAAUGGGGGCAACCCUGAUCCAGCCAUGCCGCGUGCGGGAAGAAGGCCUUCGGGUUGUAAAACGCUUUUGUUCGGGAAGAAAUACUGUGGGCUAAUACCCCGGGGGGAUGACGGUACCGGAAGAAUAAGCACCGGCUAACUACGUG
rnacentral:rRNA from 1 species